AUUCCGGCCUCGAAAUAAAACUAGAGCCCCACUUGAGAAUGGGGGGGGGGGAAUACAAAAGGCUACACCUUCGCUAUGGGCGAAACUAACGACAAGCUGUUCGAGAGCCUCAACGGCUGCUGGGACUUCUUUUGGUUGUGUGCGCGCCCUGCUGCGUUGGCCUACAGCUAGCAGGAAUGAAAUUCAUCGACACACUUUUUAUGAUUGUUGUAUACUUUUCCCACGUCUCUCUUUCUAGAAAGAUGGUCAUCAAAAAGUCGGUUCGGCUAUAAUACAAAAGAAGUCGACGGAAAACUAGGUUCUGCUGUCUGAUGAUCGACUAUACCCAUCUGGCCUGCCGACAGCCCAUCCUCAUCUUUAAAACGGUUGAUCAUCUUAUUCAUUCAUUCAUUCCUUCAUUCUUUGUGUGUGUAUGUGUGUGUGCAAGAUUUUAAUGUACAGUAUUUUGAGUUGAAGAAAGCGCUACGCCCAAGAUAUUCAUCGCAGAUCGGCCUCAAACUGUACACGCGUGCGUGCAGCAACGUCCGUAAUGGUCAUAAGAACUUCACGGGUACAAACAACAACGACGGUGAAAUGGAAGAGAAAUCCCAUCCAAUCAUCCUGUCGGUGUACAACUUCUGUUCCAACCGUGUUAUUCUCUUCCCUAACCAUACUACUGUCGGUAUGUGAAGCACAAAAUAGAUACACACGCACUCUCUCUCUUCAAGAGUCUCCCCCCGGAAAAAAGAAAAUGCUGUUCAUCUUAUGAUAUCUAGACUUCGCAUUUUCAAUGAGAAACAAGCAGGAAAUACCUUGAGACUACUUUUGUUUUUUCCUCAAAAGAUCUGAUUAGGUUGGAUAUACUAAAAACGAGGAAGAAAAGAGUGGAGGCAACGCAUUUUACAAGGACGGUUUUUGUCGUCUAAUAAGGCGCGUCUGAAUAUCCGAAAUUCCGAUAGUUUGCACGUAUUGGGCGGGGUCGCAUGGAGUAAAGAUGACCUCGAGUGAUUUCCCGUUUAAAGAGUGAUUAUUUUCCCGAACCGAAAACAUGCGUCAUGAGAAUAGAAAGGUUGUAGAGUCGGUACGUUAUCUGGACAUUGAUGGACAGCAUUUUGACUUUCGCCAAGGCGUCACAAGGCCACACAACCAGUGACGCACAUUACAAUAGCUAACCUAAUCGGUCCGGAGAAUACGUACGUAAUAUAUUGCAAAGUCCAUGCCAAUUUGAUAAUUUAAACAAUCGCAAUCACUUCCAUAGUUGGAAAAUGUCAAGUCUCUUGCAAAUGAACAAAAUCAAAAGGACUUACCUUGCAACAGCGACGUAUGCAGGACGGAAGCAAAUCCAACUGGGUGUAGAUCUGAUUUGAAAAAAAAAAAACCAGCGAAAACAGAUGAGAAAACAAAUGAGUUUGAUGUCACCAUCAAAAUAAACAUUUAAAAAAAACUAACCGGUAGACAAUAAAACAAUUUUGUAGAGUGGGUAGUAUUAUUUUAGACUGCCGGUCGCAACGGCUGACCGAUGACUUGUGAGCCUGUCUGGUCAGUAACGCGGGAUCAAGUGGAGAUCUGGUGACUGGGACAUCAGGUGAGUAAAGAUUCGGAAUAGAAAAAA